GUUUUCUUUCCCACGUUUUUGCCCAUUUUCAAAUCACUGUUCACUUUUAGAGAGAGAAACCGCCGAGUUCUUCCAUUUCAGGAGAGAGAAAGCUUCUACUCUUUGAUCUUCUCUUCGAUUUCUUCAAUUUCUGGUUUUGAAGGUGUGAUUGUGAUAUUUUCCGAUUUACUUCAAGUUUCGUUUCAGUUCACAUAAUGAGGUCAAAAAAUGCAAACAAAGCAUCUGAUUAUCACGAUGCUGGGAAGUCGAGUCAAGAUGUUGAAGGCAGUUCAAGGCCGACUGAAGAUAUUCCAGCUAGUCCAAAGCUGAGUGCAGAUGAGAGGAAAAUUGGAAGGGGGCCAAA